CAUUUUCUCCAGGAGGUCAGGAGAGGCCUCAUUUCUCAUCCUGACAUGAUCACGGCUGCAUUGUCCUUGAGCACAGGGCAUCCUCGGGCCCAGCCUACCUGAUCCAGUCGGAGUUCUGGACGGCCAGCUGACACAUGAUGAGACGGUGCCGACUGGACACGAGGCCCUGGGAAGCAACAGAGUGGUCACAGAGAGCCUGUCCCCAACUCCCACCGUCCUAGGCCAUCAGCUCAAACAGAUCAUUACCCGGUGCAGCCAGUUUUCGGUGUUAAGUGAGAUGUGGUCUCAUUACUUUUCCGUCUGCCACACAGACAGGCAUGAAGUGGCAGAGGGGAAAGAAAAAGAAGAAGGAUCUGUGGCAUAGUCUGCCCCAACAGGGUCAGAGCCCUUCCACUCUGAAAGGACACCUAGAAAGUGCCAAUUCUUCCACUCUGAGAGGACACAUGGCAGUCCAAGGAACAGACUUGUCACACACGGGAUCUGUCGGUACCUU